GUAGUGGGCUGUUCAGGGCCACACGGAGUUUGUUACGGAGAGUAGUGUCAUUAGGGGGCCGUUCAGGGCUACGUAGAGUUUGUUAUGGAGAGUGGAGUGGUGUCCGUUAUUGUGACUUGCCAGAGAGUAGUGGGGCCAUGUGGAAUCUAUUACAGAGAGUGGAGUAAGGUAGUGGCUAUUGUUGUGACUUGCCAGAGAGUUCGGACCUGACGGCUGAAGCUCGGCUGAGAUGUCUGAUGGAGCGGAAUGGCUUUCUGUCUC
rnacentral:lncRNA from 1 species